UACGUAGGUGGCAAGCGUUUGUCCGGAUUUACUGGGCGUAAAGAGCGCGCAGGCGGUCGUUCAAGUCGCGUGUGAAAGCCCCCCGGCUCAACUGGGGAGGGUCACGCGAUACUGAUCGACUCGAAGGCAGGAGAGGGUAGUGGAAUUCCCGGUGUAGUGGUGAAAUGCGUAGAUAUCGGGGAGGAACACCAGUGGCGAAGGCGGCUACCUGGACCAGCACUGACACUGAAGCACGAAAGCGUGGGGGAGCAAACAGG
rnacentral:rRNA from 1 species